AAUAAUGACAGAAGUAAAGUUUACGCCCAUGAUUAUAAUAAUUAUAGCAACUGUAUUUUCUGUAUGGUUGAAGAUCUGUCUGGUCUUUAUUCAUUUAAUUAUCACUGUAAAUAUCUGGUUAACUAUCUAUCAUUUACUCCUCAGAAAGCAAAUUCAGACAGCGGUUGCCUGGAUCAACACCCAGUACUGGGAUGCCUGGAACCUGUGUGACGAGGUGAUCGACUGGGGAGACGGUGUGGAGGAGUGCUCACGAGCGACACCCCCACUGUCCAGGAGGCAGAUCAUGGCUGGAAACCAUUCAGGAAGAAGGAUGUGAGGAAGAAGAAGAAACUGAGGUGGCGUUUCAGGAGGCACAAGACGCUGAGGUUGCCCAGUUGGACAGAUGGUGUCCAUGUGGCUGGUGUAAGGUACGUGUUUAUAUCAGUAUCUACAUGUAAAGGGAGCAGACACAGGAAAAAGGUAUUGAAGACCCUUGAUAUGAUAUUGCUGUUUUUGAUUUAGAUUCCAAAGUUAACCCUUUAUUUAAUUUAUCCCUUUUCCCCAAGUAGAAUGAUGCAUUUACUUGUAAUCUGUAUUAUUUUGCUUUGGAGUCGGAAGUUCCAAAAUCACCAGGAGAGCUCCUCAGGCAUCUCCAGCCUGUAAUUCCUGGGAAAUGCCACCUGCCACCCAUCCUUGGAAGCGUCGCCCAGUCUCAGGAUCUCAUACGUCACCAUUCAUCACAGAGUCACAGCGCUUGCAGACAUCUGGAUAAAAGGAAAAGCCCAUUUUUUAAAACUUACACGUUAAAUUUUCCUCUAAUUACCAUUUUAUUCUUUUAAAUUUCAUUAUGUUUAAUUACAUUUAGUAUGGAUUAAGGCACAGCCAGCCUGGAUUAAGGCAUCACCAGCCUGGCAUCAGACUCUCCGGACAAUGCCAGCCCAGAGGGGGCUGACCUGGAGGACAUUCCCCCGGAGGACAUGGAGUGGGAGCCUCCAGGUCUUGACCUGAGUCCCACUCCGUGGUGUCAGCCCCGUGGCCAAAGUUUCCCCAGCCGAGGAGGCUAUCGCCGCGACAACGGCAGGGUCAACAGAAAUCCAGUCGUGGGCUCAGCUCCGGGAGGAAAAAACGAGGGGUCCCUGGUUUGGUCCAGUUCCUGUCCUGCCUGCCCCUCGACACCCUCCGACUCUGCCAACCCCUCGCCGUCUACCGAUGCUGUUCUUCCCUCGGCUGCCGCAGACGAGUAGAGCUUCUACAGACCCAGACAGGAUUCCAAAGGCCCCCCUGGCCGUGACCCUUCUGCGGCACCCCGGAGCCCAUCAGAGGCCCUGAACUGUUCACUUUACCUCCCAUGCUACCUAGUGUCUUGCCCCUCCUAAUACCUCAGUCUUUGGUCUGUAGUCUUGCUUCCCCGUGGCUCUCCCUGGUUUCACCUCUUAGCCCGAUUUCACCGUUCCAGCCCCCACUCCAGUCACUCUUGCUUCCCGCUUUAGGUUCCCCUCUCCUGGCCAUAUUAUUGUUGCACUGGUUCCGUUGCUUGCCUGUCUUGUCUGGUUGUGUCCUGCCUUGUCUGUCCCUGUGCCAUCUUUGGUCCUUUUGAUGCCCAAUCCCUCCCUUUUGUCUCCUUCUACUGUGUCCUUUGUUCCCACUGACACCCACUGUC